rnacentral:rRNA from 1 species
GACGAACGCUGGCGGCGUGCCUAAUACAUGCAAGUUGAGCGCUGAAGGUUGGUACUUGUACCAACUGGAUGAGCAGCGAACGGGUGAGUAACGCGUGGGGAAUCUGCCUUUGAGCGGGGGACAACAUUUGGAAACGAAUGCUAAUACCGCAUAAAAACUUUAAACACAAGUUUUAAGUUUGAAAGAUGCAAUUACAUCACUCAAAGAUGAUCCCGCGUUGUAUUAGCUAGGUGGUGAGGUAAAGGCUCACCAAGGCGAUGAUACAUAGCCGACCUGAGAGGGCGAGCAGCCACAUUGGGACUGAGACACGGCCCAAACGCCUACGGGAGGCAGCAGUAGGGAAUCUUCGGCAAUGGACGAAAGUCUGACCGAGCAACGCCGCGUGAGGGAAGAAGGUUGUCGGAUCGUAAAACUCGGUUGGUAGAGAAGAACGUGGGUGAGAGUGGAAAGCUCAUCAAGUGACGGUAACUACUCAGAAAGGGACGGCUAACUACGUG